CGACCACGUCCGCUUGGUACACACCGCCCGCGUGCCAGCAGCCGCGGUAAUACAUAGGCUUCAAGCGUUGUCCGGAUUUAUUGGGCGUAAAGAGUUCGUAGGCGGUCAAGUAAGUCGGGUGUGAAAAUUCUGGGCUUAACCCAGAGACGCCACCCGAUACUGCUUAACUUGAGUUCGAUAGGGGAGUGGGGAAUUCCUAGUGUAGCGGUGAAAUGCGCAGAUAUUAGGAGGAACACCGGUGGCGAAGCCGCCACUCUGGAUCGAUACUGACGCUGAGGAACGAAAGCAUGGGUAGCAAACAGGAUUAGAUACCCUGGUAGUCCAUGCCGUAAACGGUGGGCACUAGGUGUGGGAUUCUAUUAACGAAUUCCGCGCCGUCGCUAACGCAUUAAGUGCCCCGCCUGGGGAGUACGGUCGCAAGAUUAAAACUCAAAGGAAUUGACGGGGCCCCGCACAAGCAGCGGAGCAUGCGGCUUAAUUCGACGCAACGCGAAGAACCUUACCAAGGCUUGACAUAUACAGGAAUAUGGCAGAGACGUCAUAGCCGCAAGGUCUGUAUACAGGUGGUGCAUGGUUGUCGUCAGCUCGUGUCGUGAGAUGUUGGGUUAAGUCCCGCAACGAGCGCAACCCUCGUUCUGUGUUGCCAGCAUUUAGUUGGGACUCACAGGAGACUGCCGGGGUUAACUCGGAGGAAGGUGGGGAUGACGUCAAAUCAUCAUGCCCCUUAUGUCUUGGGCUGCACGCAUGCUACAAUGGCUGGUACAAACGGCUGCGAUACCGCAAGGUGGAGCGAAUCCGAUAAAGCCAGUCUCAGUUCGGAUUGGGGUCUGCAACUCGACCCCAUGAAGUCGGAGUUGCUAGUAAUCGUAGAUCAGCAACGCUACGGUGAAUACGU
rnacentral:rRNA from 1 species